rnacentral:lncRNA from 1 species
AGUUCCAAGUCUUGGCCUGAGAGUUAGCAUUGAUGAAGCCCUAUUUCCAACAGAGAAUGAUUAUGACAACUUGUUUUUUGGGAUACAGAUGUGGCUAGACUGUAAUGGUUGCCUUUCAGAUCAGAGUCCCUGAUGACCUGGCUUUCUCAUUGUGGCUUCAGUGCAAUAGAAGAAUGUACUCUCUUGUGAAUCACUGGCCAUGGGACCUCACUCCUUAGAGACAUCUGUCCACUGAGACCUCACUUUACUGUUGCAGUGACUAAGUAGGAAAUAGGAACCUCAAGUACCAUAGGAGCAGUCUUUCUCCCUCCAUAAUCUGAUGGUCA